rnacentral:lncRNA from 1 species
AACCUGACAAGAACAACUUAGAAGAGAAAAGGUUGAUUUUGGCUCACAGUUUCAGAAGUUCAGUUCAUCAUCAGUGGACACCAUAGCUGUGGUCCCAGGUAGAAGGGUAUGGUGAAGGAAAGCCUCACAGGACAUGUUAACCAGUCAGCAAAGAGAAAGCUCCACUCAACAGGGAGAGAAUAUAAACCCCAAAGGCCCUCCUCAGUCACUUGUGUCCAGUCGUACCCUCUCUGCCCACCAUUACCACCCAGUUAACUCAUAUCCCCUAAGAAAGUUACAAUUCUCAUAAUCUAGUCACUUUAUCUCUUCUUGCAUUGUCUCAUACAUGAGUAUUUGGAAAGUAUCUCCUAUCUAAACCAUCUCAUUCCACCCCAGCCCCUGAAAGCUCAUGCUCCAUUCAGAAAGCGAAAUACAUUUCUUCCAUUUUUAAGAUUCCCCAUAGUCGUAACAGUUCCAGUAUUACCCAAAAAUACAAAUCCAAAAUCUCACCUGAGACUCAAGGCCAACUCAUUAAUAUUUUCUCCUGUGAAGACCAUAUAUCCAAUAUAUAAUGGUACAAAAUAAAUAUUUACUUUCCAUAAGGGAGAAAUAGGACCAUAGAAAGGAAGGAGGGGCCAAAGCAAAAUUGAAAUCCAGCAGGGCAAACAAGUCCUAUAGUUCCAUGGCCAACAUUUGGGCCAGAUGACAUCAUCGUGUUCUCUCCAAAGGGCUUGUAUAGCUCUGCCUCUGUGGCCUAGCUGGUUGCAGCCCACAUGAACUCUUUCUUGGCUUGGUGCUCAAUUCCUGCAUUUUUCCUUAGCAGACAUUCCACUUUGUUGGCAUCUCUUAAUCUCACAGGUCAUUACUAAAGCUUUGGCCUCCUCACAUCUUCAUACAUCAUCCUCUUUGGAGCUGCCUGCAGGGAUUCCAACCCUGCUACACUUUUUCUAGCCUCAAAGGUCUUCUUUUAAAAUAUGGAUGGAAACCUCUAUGACAACCUGCUGUGGUUUGCAUGUGAGAUAUCCCCUAAAAGCUCAUAUGUGAGAAAAUGCAAAAAGGUUCAAAGGAGAAAUUAUUGGGCUGUGAGAGGCUUAACCCAAUCAAUGAAUUAAUUUCCUGAUAGGGAUUAAUUGAGUGAUAAUUAAAGAGGUAGGGUAUGGCUGGAGGAGUAAGAAUUGGGGGUAUGGCUUUGGGGUAUAUAUAUCUGUAUAUGGCAGUGUAUUCUCUCUUCUCUCUCUCUCUCUCUCUCUCCCUCCCUCCCUCCCUCCCUCCCUCCCUUCCUGCCUUUCUCUCCUUUCUGAUCAACAUGUGAGAUAUUUUCCUCUGCCAUACUCUUCUGCCAGGAUGUUCUGCCUCACCUGGAGCUCCGAGGAAUGGAGCAGCCUUCUAUGGACUAAGACCUCUGAAACUGUGAGCCCCCCUAAAUAAAUUUUUCCUUCUUUACAGUUGUUCUGGUAGGGUCUUUCAGUCACAGCAGUGGAAAAGUUGACUAAAAAACACCCUAAUUCCAGCAUCCUGUAGUCCUGCACAACCAUACCAAGGUGGUUCAUGCCAAGGUCUGCACCAUCUUGAGCAGUAGCCAAGCCCCAAGGUACCAUGACUAUAGAAGCCUUUGAAUGUAUAAGUGACUGGGAACAAUAAAACCACUUCCUCGGCCUCCUGUGCAAGCAAGGUGCCCCACUGGUCUCUUCUCAAAGGAAUUUUUACUUUUACACCUUUGAGCCUACAAUGGGCAUGAUCUUGCCAAUUCUUGAUUGCCAUCUCUCCUGUUGGCAUUAUGUAAAGUACUUACCUUCUCUUUAGUCAAUAUAAUCUCUGUAACAACCACAACUUCCUUUGCACCAGUUUUACUUGCACUUUUCCAGCCAAGCUACAAGAUUUUCAAAUCUUUUGCUCUGCUUUCUACUUAUGAUUAUAAUAGUAAGCUUGUUUAAAAGCCACCAGCAAUGUCCAUUCCACUGCCUGAGAGCUAUGCUCCUUGAAAUUUUCUCUGCCACAUUCAGACUCACAGAAAAUCUUAGGAAACAGGCAAAAUGUAGAAAACAUUUUUACCAGAAUGAAACGUGAGUGGCCUCUAGUACAAUUUCCAAUAGAGUCCUUCCUCUGAAAACUCACUAACCCAGUCUUUACUGUCCACAGUCAUACUGGAAUUCUGAUCUUCUAGGCUUUCACCAGAAUCACCCACUAAGCUCACUUAUGACAUUAUAAAGAUUUUUCAGCUUACAUCUCUAAAUUUUUCAAAAUCCCUCCUACAAACAAGUAACAAAGACUUCUGAACUACAUAGUCACAGCAACUUCCUUACUUCUUAGUACCAAUUUCUGGUUUAAUCAGAUUUUCAUUGCUGUGACCACAAGACCUAACAAGAAAAACUCAGAGGAGGAAAUGUUUAUUUUGGCUCAUGGUUUCAUAGGUUUAGUCCAUCGUCAGCUCACAGCAUAGCAGAACACAAUGGCAGAAGCAAAUGGCAGAGGAAAGUAGUUUGAACAUGGCAACCAAGAAGCAGAGAAAGAAUUCUGCUCACCUGGGACAAAAUAUAAACUCCAAAGUCAUUCUCCCCAGUGACCUACUUCUUCCAGCCACACCCUACAUGCCAGUUAAUUAACUACCAAUUAUCAGUAUCAAUGAAUAAAUCUACUAAUUAAAUUACAGCUUUCACAAUCUAUUUCACCUCUGAACUUUCUGUGUUGUCUCAUACUUAAGCUUUUGGGUUACAUCUCAUAUCUAUAUAAUAACAGCAUUAUUAUAAAUUUUCAUUUUAGCCAUUCAAGUACAUAUGCAGUGGUAUUAGUCUAUUUUUUUAAUUUGCAACUCCUUAACAAAUAAAUUAUAUUUAAAUUUCUUAAUGUUAUUAUAUGUCAAGCUUAUAUCAUCUUUGGCAAAGAAUCUAUUCAAGUGUUUGCCCAUUCUUAUAUUAUAUUGUUAUAUUUUUACUGUUG